rnacentral:rRNA from 1 species
GUGUCAGCAGCCGCGGUAAAACGUAGGAAGCAAGCGUUAUCCGGAUUUACUGGGCGUAAAGGGCAGGCAGGCGGUUGGUUAAGUCCUAUUUGAAAGCUCCCGGCUCAACUGGGAGAGGUGGUAGGAAACUGGCCGACUAGAGGAUGGUAGAGGAGAGUGGAAUUCCCGGUGUAGUGGUGAAAUGCGUAGAUAUCGGGAGGAACACCAGUGGCGAAAGCGGCUCUCUGGGCCAUUACUGACGCUCAACUGCGAAAGCCAGGGGAGAGAACGGGAUUAGAAACCCGCGUAGUCC